rnacentral:rRNA from 1 species
AUUGAACGCUGGCGGCAGGCCUAACACAUGCAAGUCGAACGAGUGGCGGACGGGUGAGUAAUGUAUGGGAAACUGCCUGAUGGCGGGGGAUAACUACUGGAAACGGUAGCUAAUAACGCAUACCAUCGGAUGUACCCAGAUGGGAUUAGCUCGUAGGUAGGGUAACGGCUCACGUAGGCGCCGAUCCCUAGCUGGUCUGCGAGGAUGACCAGCCACACUGGGACUGAGGCACGGUCCAGACGCCUACGGGAGGCAGCAGUGGGGAAUAUUGCACAAUGGGCGGCAGCCUGAUGUAGCCAUGCCGCGUGUAUGAAGAAGGCCUUCGGGGUGUAAAGUACUUUCAGUGGGGAGGCGUUACUCGCAGAAGAAGCACCGGCUAACUCCGUGCCAGCAGCCGCGGUAAUUC